rnacentral:rRNA from 1 species
UACGUAGGGGUGCGAGCGUUGUCCGGAAUUACUGGGCGUAAAGAGCUCGUAGGUGACGUGUCGCGUCUGCCGUGAAAGCCCAUGGCUUAACUGUGGGUCUGCGGUGGAUACGGGCAGGCUGGAGGCUGGUAGGGGCAAGGCGGAAUUCCUGGUGUAGCGGUGAAAUGCGCAGAUAUCAGGAGGAACACCGGUGGCGAAGGCGGCAUCCUGGACCGGUAUUGACGCCUGAGGAGCGAAAAGCCAGGGGAGGACAAACGGGG